rnacentral:lncRNA from 1 species
ACCCCACCAAACCAAACCCAUUCCAAGGCUGGCCAGAGAUGUUCACUACUGGAGGAAACAGGAUGUUUUGCUUCUCUCCCAGGCCUGUGCUCUACCAGUCUGACCUGCUUAUCCUUCUUUCCUUUUCUGCUAUUCAGGAACCAGGGGACAGGGUUCCAGCUGCCUGCUCAGGGUUUCACAGCGAAUCUCAGGAGUUCCUGCAGGAAGCCUGGAUGUCUGUGAAUGGCCUUGGUUCCCUGCAGGGCCUCUCCAGGGCUCCAGAGCUCUACGGCCACAGGAAGCACUGCUGGGGAGGAGGAUUGCUUCCCUGGCUCCCGCAGCUUGGACACCAGCAUGAGGCAGUCAGGAGGGUAAUCAAGGAGAAAGGAAAUAAUCUUUCUGGCCCCCACCAGCAACAGCUUACAGUGGGAAGCAACAGUGGGAAGCCAUUAAAAUGUAGUUAUUGAUGUUGUUAUCAAAAUGUAUUACUAAGAGAAAGGCUCAAAGCUGUCCACUGAUCUUUAUACCAUGACUCUGUGACAAAAAAGCUUCCAAAGCAUUCAGUGAACGCUGACCUCCCUGCUUACCUUGGCAAGUAUUUCUUUUCCACUGUCUUUGGGCACAGGAAGCUCCAAGUGGUAAAAACCAACAGGUACACAGAGGCAGGAGUGCUGAAGGAGUGUUGGAAGGGUAGAUGGACUGAUGCUGUCCUCUGAUGGAUUCAUUGCCCAGGUUCAUGUGUUUAUAUAAAACCUGCAAUGCUGUUCAUAGCCUCUCAUAGCAGUGGAAUUGGUGGGAGAGCAGCUCUGGGACAAGCACUUCCAGUUCAAUCAAUCUUUGCCUUCCUUUGCUUUGCCAAGUUGCACAAAGUCAUUGGUUCAAGGUCAGUUUCUGUGUGCUUCAUAAAGUGUCCCCAAACCAGCUCUGACACAGCCUCAAUCAGAUCUUUGCUACAGAGCAGCACCACAGUGUGAUGAAGGAAGUAGAACAAACCCAAAUAUCUGAACCUUCAGAAGCUACUUUAGGAAAAAAAGAAAAAAAAGAAAAAAGAAAAAGAAAAAAAGAAAAACAAAUGAAAAAAACCAAACCACAAAACCAAACAUACAAAAAAGUCACCUUUAAAAUCCCCUUGAUGAAUUUCAGGUCACAGCCUAUUGGUGGCUCACUUUGUGCCAGUCAGGGUUUUACAUUUCCUCCACCAAGAAGGAAAACCUUUCCACCACCAAAGUUGAUGCCAAAACCUAAACCUCUGGCCAAAGCUAUUUUCCCUAAAAUAACAUCUCCUUUGCUUACUCUUUUAUAAAGCAACUCCUUAACUGCUUUCAGAAAUAUUCUGGGCAUUUGCUUCUCUCUGGUGUAUUUUAAUUUGCCCUUUUUAUCUCUGUGUUGUUUUUCAGCAUUCUUUCCUCAGUUAGCUGUUCACAUUUGAUCCUCAUAAUUCCCUGGAUGUUUUCAUUAUAAUAAAAAAAAAAAAAAAAAAAAAAAGAAAUAACGA